UACGUAGGGUGCAAGCGUUGUCCGGAAUUAUUGGGCGUAAAGAGCUCGUAGGCGGUUUGUCGCGUCUGCUGUGAAAACGCGAGGCUCAACCUCGCGCCUGCAGUGGGUACGGGCAGACUAGAGUGUGGUAGGGGAGAUUGGAAUUCCUGGUGUAGCGGUGGAAUGCGCAGAUAUCAGGAGGAACACCGGUGGCGAAGGCGGGUCUCUGGGCAGUAACUGACGCUGAGGAACGAAAGCGUGGGUAGCGAACAGG
rnacentral:rRNA from 1 species